rnacentral:rRNA from 1 species
CCUACGGGUGGCUGCAGUGGGGAAUAUUGGGCAAUGGGCGCAAGCCUGACCCAGCAACGCCGCGUGAAGGAAGAAGGCUUUCGGGUUGUAAAGUUCUUUUCUCAGGGACGAAAAAGGUGACGGUACCUGAGGAAUAAGCCACGGCUAACUACGUGCCAGCAGCCGCGGUAAUACGGAGGUGGCAAGCGUUAUCCGGAUUUAUUGGGUGUAAAGGGCGCGUAGGCGGGAGCGCAAGUCAGAUGUGAAACGUCAGGGCUCAACCCUGAGCCUGCAGUUGAAACUGUGUUUCUUGAGUGCAGGAGAGGCAAUCGGAAUUCCGGGUGGAGCGGUGAAAUGCGUAGAUAUACGGAGGAACACCAGUGGCGAAGGCGGAUUGCUGGACAGUAACUGACGCUGAGGCGCGAAAGCGUGGGGAGCAAACAGGAUUAGAUACCCUAGUAGUC